CUCAAAAAGAUUUUAAAAAUAAUGAAAAUUUGUACGUGAAUUAAUUAAAAUAAAACAGAAGUCAAAUUAAAAGUCAACCCACCAAACUAGGUCAAAAAUAAAUCCAAAAUAAAUUGAAAAUGUGAAAUAAAAUUCCAAGAAAAGGUCAGGUUGACCAUGAGACAGUGGUCAACCUUCAUCCCAAAAAUCAAAUUCUAACAAUAAUUUUAAGU
rnacentral:lncRNA from 1 species